ensembl:lncRNA
UACCUAUCACAUAUCCUUUCUUCUAAUCUUCCCCUGACUCAACCUUUCUGCUCCCUCAUGACCUCUGCAUCCUUCCUUUUCUCGCCUUCUCAUUCUCGUAGCUCCCUCCCCCCCUCUUCCCAUGCUCUCAAUUUGCUCAGGGGAUCUUGACCCUUCCCCCUUCUCCAGGGGACCAUGUAUGUCUCUCUUAGGGUCCUCCUUGUUUACUAGCUUCUCUGGCAGUGUGGAUUGUAGGCUGGUAAUCCUUUACUCUAUGUCUAAAAUCCACAUAUGAGUGAGUACAUAUCAUGUUUUUUUUUUGUGAUUGGGUUACCUCACUCAGAAUGGUUUCUUCUAGUUCCAUCCAUUUUCCUGCAAAUUUCAAGAUUCCACCAUCCAGAUCUUUUUCAAAGGCAUUGUAAAUUUGUUGUAUGUAAAUGGAGUCAGUGUGAACUCUUCAUGUCUGGCUGCGGGUCAUUCAACAUCAGUGGGCUCAUCCUAGUCACAGGAUGUAGCAAUACUGUAGUGGCCUGGGAUGCCAGAAGAGCCUAGCUUCUGGUCCAGCCUUCCUCAGUAACAGAAGGCCUUUUUAUACAUUGGUCAAAUGUUCAUAUAGUCAUAUACACCAAUUAUAAAAACCCAAGGUGUGUUUUCUGGGCUUACUUGGCUGUGGUGGAAGUGGGGCAAGAGUUGGCAGGAUUUCUUCCACUUUGGGCAGCUUUUCUGGGUCAUGAAAGGCUAGCUCACAAUGGAUUCCAGGACUCUGGCAUGUCAUUGCCUGUUUGUAAUUGUAUGGGAACAUUCUGUCCCACUUGACUUAGAAAAAUUGGUAACCGAUGUACACAGAACCUGCUUCCCACAAACUUUGGCUUAGGAAUGUUUCUACUUUGUGUGUGUGUUUGUGCACAUACAUGGAAGCCAGAGGACAACUUCAAAUAGCAUCCUCAGGAACCAUCCAUCCUUUGUUUCAUGUUGUUUGAGCCAGCAUCUCACCAUGUAACUCUGGCUCAUCUGAAACUUCCUAUGUAGACCAAGCUGGCCUCAAAUUCAGAGAUCUGCCUGCCUCUGCCUCCUAGGUGCUGGGAUUAAAGAUGUGAACACCCAGUCCAGUCUAUCUCUUUUUGAGCCAAGUCUCAGAGUAGUGUGGAAUUUACCAAGUAAGCUAAACUGGCUGGCCAGUGAGCUGGGAAACAACAAUGUUCCUCCCUCCCUUGAGCUGGGAUUACAAGUAUGCAACACUACACAAACUUUUUUUUUUUUUAAGUGUGGGGUCUAGAGAUCCAACUCAGUUUUCUGACUCACAAGGCAAGCACUUUAUCAGUUGAGUUAUAUCCCCCGUGCUCACAACAAUAUUUUAAAGCAGUAAAGUCUUAUAAAGUGCUUGUAUCAUUUUACAUACAUAACUGUAAUUAUGAGGCUGAGCCUUAUUUUGAAUAUGGAUUUCAUCCAUGACUGAAGUUGACACUCUUUUCAUAUGAGUUGUUUUAUUUUUCCCUUUAACAUAUUUUUGUUGGGCAUUUAUAUCUAUUCCUAACUAGUUUAUUUUAUUAUACUAUAAUAUAUAUGUGUGUGUGUAUACAUACACACACUCAUACAUAUCUGGAUGGCAGUCUAUUUUUUUAAAGUCAGGGUCUUAUUUUAUACCUGACUGGCCUUGACCUCAGAGGCCUGUACCACCAUGCUAGGUCUUGGAUGCCAGUCUUCUUGUGUCACAAUAAAUUUAAAAAUUAAAAGCAAAAGGAGGAUGUAGCUCAUUUUGCUUUUGCCUAGUAGCACAAAGCCACUUUUCUGUUUUAGAAUUCUUUUUUCCCUUUCUUCGUUGGUUGGUUUUACUUUUGUUCUUUUCUGAGACAGGUUUCUUUGGCUGUGUGGUUUCUCUGGAUUCCUGACUGUCCUGGGACUUGCUCUGUAGACCACAGAGGUCUGCCUGGUACUGCCUCCUCAGUGCUGAAAUUCUUAAGCUGUAGCCUGAAGUGCUGCUCUCCCAGAAACACGCAAGACUUCCUUCCCAACCUCCUCCAAUCACUGGUUGAAAUGGCCAUUUCUGGUGUGCUUCCUUCAGUAUCCUGAUUAGGAGAGUAGACCAGCAGUCAGUAUUCCCCACCUUUCCUUUGCCUUGAUUGCACGUAUCAGCAGACACUGUCCAUGCAAGAAACGUAUAAAGAUAAAUGUCAACCAAGGGAAAUGGAAAACAAGUUAUGGCGUGUUUACUCUAACUGGGAGGCUCAAGGAUUACACAUCACCUUCCUAAAUUCUAGAUAAAGAAAGGGACCGUACUUCGUGUUAGGUUAAGUCUCACAAACAGAUCGCUGAGGGCUCUGGGAUCCAGGGAUGCUCCCUGUGACUUCUGGAACAGCACAAAGCAAACAGAAUCUCCAUAGAGGGGGGUCUCUAAUAGUGGAAAGGUGUACUCACUUCAUUUAGGUUAAUACUUUUCUUUUUUUCUUUUUUCUUUUGGUUUUUUCGAGACAGGGUUUCUCUGUGGCUUUGGAAGCUGUCCUGGGACUAGCUCUUGUAGACCAGGCUGGUCUCGAAUACACAGAGAACAACCUGCCUCUGCCUCCCGAGUGCUAAGACUAAAGGCGUGCGCCACCAACGCCAGGCAGGUUAAUACUUUUCUUAUCAUAAAGAAAGAGGGGACAUCUCUAAAAGCCACAACAUGCAGCUUUAGUAGAUUCAAAACAUGACCUCAAUCUCCAGCCUCCAUCCAUGCCAUGGACCUCUUCCACAGAAAGUUUCCCACAAGACUGUUCCCAUCCCACAAACUACUUUAGAAGCCACAAGUUGCCCUCACCCAGGAGGAAGCACUCUCAGGACGGUGAUCCAAUCUACUUGGUCCCAGAGCGGGCACUUCCGGAAGUGGUGAGGCUUGUUUCCGAGGGGACGAUCUUCCGAGGGGACAGGAGACUGACGGUGAGUAACGCUCGGUGCGAACGACGGCUCUCAAUGCGCGGUCACAGUUUUGUGGGCGAUGCCGGCGUCUCCCGUCGCCAGUGUUUGUCGCGAGUCCUCCCAGGCCGCGGGUGGAGAGCGAGGCAGCCUCGGAAGGGCGGCUCGGUCCGGAAGACGGCUCGGCUGCGCGCUCCGGGGCGCCCCCUGCAGGCGGUGCCCGAGGCUGACGCAGGAGGAGCCGCGUGGGGGCGGCACAGCCACUGCGAUGCCCGGCGCUUGGAGGGGGGCGCGUCGGAGGGCAGCCCCUACCCUGCCCGGGCCAGCGGCCUGGGCCCCAGGGACCGAGGCAGAAAGCCCGAGGACAGGGACGCCGCCUUGGGAAGCCUGAGCGCUGGAAGCUGAGGGCAGGCCCUCGGGGCGCGAGAGGAGUCAGGCAGGGUCCAGAUGCUACCUGCGGGACAGGUGACUUCAAGUUAGGGCUUCAGCUUCAGCUCUGACUUCCUCCUGAGGACCCUGUGACCAUCGGAUAGGUUACAGUUGCAUUACUGGUGGGCAGGGCUCGAUGAGGACGCUCUUGGGAUGCUGUUGAUGAGAGGUGAAUCAGAAUUAAGAGUUGGAGGUAGAAAUCAGGACUUGGGCACUGGACGUGGUGUAAUAGUGAGAGGCAUUUGCCUUAGACCACCUUCUGUUGCUAAAAUUACAACUCAUGGGGUGAGGUGUUUUGGGGGCUCCUGUGUGUGUGUGUGUGUGUGUGUGUGUGUGUGUGUGUGUGUUUUCUUUUGAAUGGCUUGCUUUGGUUAGAGAUUUUGGUGUGAGAUCCUGGGACCAAAUUAGCAAGGGAUAGGUAGCAAGAUAGACCUAGCCAAACUUGUUUUAUGAGCAGUCUCACUUUGCAGAUAAACAGUUAAUUUAAUAAUUGUUUUUAUGGAAUUAGUGCAUUUAUGAUGGCAUUUAUAAAGGCCCUACAUCCGCCCAUGGAAGACCUCACUCUCCAUGGGGAGCAGAACUGGGAUAGGUUUUAAAAACGCUAGUUAGUGCUGUGUGCCUCUAACCCCAAGCCCAAGCAAGAGUGUGAGUUCCAGGACCAUCAAGAAACCCAAAUAAUUACCACCACAACAACAAAAUAGUUGACACUUUGGAUCACCUUUCAGCGACCAAGAACUUUCCUUUUUGCUAAAUAAAUCCUCUUUGUUUUGCUCCAAUAAAUAAAUAAAAACUCCAGUUUAAGUGGG